UAUCCUACUGUAAUUACCACUGAUGCCAACAAGCUAUGGGGGUACCAAAAACUUCUUGGAGCUGUUAGAAACAAGUUAUAUGGUGUCAUGGAAAAAUGUUGGCACAAAUGGAUAUAUCUGUGUUUAAAGUAAUCCAGGGUAUACCAGAUGCGUUACAAUAGAAAGAAACAUGACUCUUGGUCUGAACAACUUCCACGCUAGCUCUGAACGCGAUGCAGCAGAAGUGUUAAGAGACACAGACAGCUGAGAUCCACUGAGGAGAGAAUUUGUGAACUAAAACCUCUUCCAUCAAGGGACACUGGAAUGGUAUUUACCUCUGUAUAGCUCAGAAAUGUAUGUCUGGACAUUGGUGCAUUAAGCCAGAAGCUUAUUCUGCUACCAGUCUGCCCCUAGCGUUUCAUAUUCACCGUGGUAGCUCAGCUUGCCGCAAGAGGUCCCCACAAGCCUUAUCUUGCUUCUCGUGCACCUUUGCCUAGAGCUCUGUAUCCCCAGCCAGGCUUCCUUUCCCAGCCUGAGAGCUGAUUCUGGGAAGGAUGAUGCAGAAACUGCAAUGCAGGGAUGUGUUUUGAAAAAGAAGACAGUCCUCCGGGUUUCGGAUCUCAAGCUUUUAAGCUCUGCCAGAGUUUUGGGGCCAGCAUCACUUUAGCUGGAUGAUGGCUUUAAUGUGAUUGAUCUGCAGUACUGGCUCUUAAUUUAAGAUGCAGAAUAUUGACACAUAAAAUAAGCAGCUCGACAGGAGGGGAAAACUACUGAGGAUCUUAAUGCUGAAGCAUCGGAGACCUAAAACUUUUAGAAGGAAGGAAAGCCGUGCUUGUGAACAUUUGCUACUUACUAUUUUGGCACCAAACAUGGGGGUGCUGUGAGAGGAGGAGGAGAAGGCACUUGCAACCAUUACUGCUGACCUAUAGCACUUUUAAUUUGAUGAUCUAAAAGUGCAUUCAAGUUCUCAUGCUUCACGGUGGCUCUGAGAAGGAUGGUGUUAUCCCCUCUUCCCAGUUGAGGAAACAGAGCCAAAAUCAGGUUAAUAAGUAACAUGUUUUCUGCCCAGCCACGUAACAAAUCAAUUCCAAAUAGAACCCAGAAGUCCUAAUGAAAAUGAGGACGUUAUGUAGACAAAGUCCUCCAGAUUUUAAACUCCUGGUUUUAAUUCAAAAGCAUUAUUAAUCAGUUAGAAAACAAUAAUGUUCUUUUAUAAAUCAUUCUUUUUCUCCCUUCUGUGUCUGCAGCAGUGGUGAAGUAGGAAAGAACAUCUCCAGAUAGGCUUGGCUGGCAUUGGGUAGUGACGCUUUAUCAAUAUAGUAAAUAUCUUUUUGAUCCAGGUUGAAUCUGAUAUUAGCCACUAGCUAUGCAUGGUUCAGGAUGAUUCAAAAUACAAAAAAAAAGGGUAGCAAUGCAUGUAGGCCUUCAAGGAUGUUUGCAAACAGUGGGAAGUAAAAUAUCAUUAACCUGUUAAACUGAAAGGGAUG